UAAAUUGAGGUAUUCUUGUGGUUUUACCAUGUGAGAUUAACAAGGGUGAUAGUUAACAAUGUGCAUAAGGGAAAUUCCCCUGUUGGUUUUCUCUGAUUAGGAUUCCAGUGCAUCAAUUUGUUAAAAACUAAAUUUCCACAUAUAAAAGAGCCAAAACUGCUUUCGUUGAUACAUAAUAUGUUGAAUUGGGUUCCGAUGUGAUAUAUCAUUCUGACAGAUUUACCUAAUGUGGGUUUGUUAAGAAAUUUUAGUUAGGAUUUGGAUUAAACUGUAAAACCCAAAAUCAGUUAUACCUAAUAAUAUUACCUUUAUCUGUUGAUCGAAAAUAAACUUAAAAUAUAGAUGUACUACAACCUGCCAAACAAAACCACAGAUUAAAUUUAAUUAAAUCAAUAAUUAGUUGUUUUUUCCCCCCAAAUCAAAGAGGUUGUAUCAUUUUAAAUGUGUUAAUAGUGGAUUUUAUUGGGAAAGGUGAAGACGUCGAUAACCUGCCUGGAAUUAAGAUCCAACUGAAAGAAAUAGGCAAAGUUAUAAUGGACGAUGUCCACGAUAAGGUUAAAGAAUCUGGAAAGUGGCCCUUUGUUGUUGAUACUGUCGGGCAGGCGUCCACAUUUUUAAAGUACCGAGAUACAAAUAUGAUUAAUUGUCUGGAGAAACACGACAUGCAACCAGAGACUAUCAGGAUGGCGUUGAUUGGUGCCAUGAAGUUUGGUAAACCAUUUAUACUAGAUAUGAAUGAGGUGGAUAUGUUUCAAGUCUGUGUUGACGCAUUUGAUGAAAUACAGAAAGGGUUAAUGGAUGCUCUGCUGGACAAAAGUAUUUUUAAGGACGAGAAGUAUCUAUCUUUGGUUAAAGACACGGACGGGGCUGAUUAUGAUCCAGGAAGAGCACCCUAUAUGGUGGAAAAUUUCAAAUUAGUCUUUUUGACUACACAUUCUCGUCCUAAUGAAAACCUGUUAAAGAGAACCU